rnacentral:lncRNA from 1 species
AGCUUCCCUGGGCCAGUUAACCCUGCCAGUGUGGGGACUCCUUUCCUGCUGAUACCUAGACACAGAAGCCCAGAAAUGCUCUGGAAGUGCGCCUCCCUUGGGAACCAGGACCUCUGACCCCGCGGAGCCUAGAGGACACCUACCAGAGGUCACCCCCUAGCCAUCAGAAGGAAGCCUCUCUGUAUGUAUAUAUCUGCACUGGACAAACACAACUCAUAAAAUUGGUGGUCUUUUCCUAGCUAAGACCAUUUCUCCUGGCACAUUAGAAGU